rfam:Pristionchus pacificus strain PS312 contig4610, whole genome shotgun sequence.
UCUUCACUUCACACACUCUCUCGUCGAUCAGAGAAGCGAGAGAGUGUGUGAAUUGAAGAGA